rnacentral:rRNA from 1 species
GUGCCAGCCGCCGCGGUAAUACCGGCAGCCCGAGUGAUGACCGAUCUUAUUGGGCCUAAAGCGUCCGUAGCUGGCUGCGCAAGUCCGUCGGGAAAUCCACUCGCCCAACGAGUGGGCGUCCGACGGAAACUGCACAGCUUGGGACCGGAAGGCUCGAGAGGUAUGUCCGGGGUAGGAGUGAAAUCCCGUAAUCCCGAACGGACCACCGAUGGCGAAAGCAUCUCGAGAAAACGGAUCCGACAGUGAGGGACGAAAGCCAGGGUCUCCAACCGGAUUAGAUACCCUAGUAGUCC